AUCUUCUCGGCUAGAUGAGCGUUUUGAGUGUGGUAAACGAUUGAAGACACGCAUAGGCCAUGAGAAGGAGUCAGACUUGGAUAAGAUGCGGAGACUAGACGAAAAGGUCCAAAACGCUAUCAACAGCGUAAAAAGGGCAAUUAGCCUAGGGAAUUGUAUAUCUUUAUCCGCAAGGGAGUUAGCGGAUUUGCUUGAAAGGAAGAAAAGCCCACCAGCUAAGGUUAUGGAUGCUGUACUAAAAUUUUCACGGCACAUGCUGCGUAAGGAUGUU